rnacentral:tRNA from 1 species
GCCUCCGUAGCUCAGUGGACCAGAGCAUCGGUCUUCGGAACCGAGUGUCGCAAGUUCGAAUCUUGCCGGGGGUA